AAUAAUUUUUCGUGGCGUACGGGUGAGUAAUACACAGGAAUCUGCCUUUUAGUUCAGGAUAAAAUUCUGAAUAACAAAAGAAAACUUUUCGCUAAAAGAUGAGCCUGUGUAGGAUUAGGUAGUUGGUAUUUGGGUAAAGGCCUACCAAGCCUAUGAUCCUUAGCUGUUCUGAGAGGUUGUACAGCCACACUGGGACUGAGACAAGGCCCAGGCUUCAUUUGGAGCCAGCAGUGAGGAAUUUUGGACAAUGAGCGAAAGCUUGAUCCAGCAAUACUACAUGAGUGAUGAAGGCUUUCAAGUUGUAAAACUCUUUGGUUGAGGAGGAUAAUGACAGUACUCAACAAAAUAGCCCCGGCUAACUUCGUGCCAGCAGCCGCGGUAAUACGAAGGGGGCGAGCGUUAUCCGGAAUGACUGGGCGUAAAGGGUCCGUAGGCAGCAUUUUUUGUUAGAGGUUAAAUAAAAAAGCUUAACUUUUUUCCGCUUCUAAAACGUAAAUGCUUUGAGUUUGAUAGGAGAUAGCAGAAUUUCACAUGGAGGGGUGAUAUCCGUAGAUAUGUGAAGGAAUACCAGAGGCGAAGGCGGCUAUCUAGAUCAAUACUGACGUUGAGGGACGAAAGCAUGGGGAGCAAACAGGAUUAGAUACCCUGGUAGUCCAUGCCCUAAAAGAUGAGUGCUCGUGCUUAGAUAUUUUUAGGCACUUAGUUAACACGUUAAGCACUCCGCCUGGGGAGUACGACCGCAAGGUUGGAACUCAAAGGAAUUGACGGGGGCCUAUACAAGUGGUGGAGCAUGUGGUUUAAUGCGACAAUACGCGCGAAACCUUACCAGUUCUUGACAUAAAAAAGAAAAAGUUUGAAAGGACAAUUUUGAAGAUUUUUACAGGUGCUGCCUGGCUGUCGUCAGCUCGUGUCGUGAGAUGUUAGGUUAACUCCUUUUAACGGGCGAAACCCCUUUUCUUAGU
rnacentral:rRNA from 1 species